GUUGCAAGGACAGAAGAACACACAGUCUGACCGCCAUGGCUUUCUCCAGGACCUUGGUCGUGUUCCUAUGUGUGAUCCUCGCCUCGCUCGCCUUCUUCAUGCAGGACGUCCUCGCUGCCAGGGCCCUCGCUGAAGCCAGCGGCCUGCCAGGUGAUUCGUACGGGGAUCGUCCGCCGGACCCUCCAGGUGGUGGUGGCUAUGGCGGUGCUGGUUCUGGUGGCGGCGGUUAUUAUCCUCCCGGGCAUCCUUAGGCGCUGGACCACGAUCACCAUGCUCCAACUAUAUACGGAAAUACUGCGAGCAUAAUUAAAUAAAAUAGUUAUCCAGCAUCCGUCGUGCACAACUCUAUAUAUCUUUCUGCAAAUUUCCCGUUUUCGAAUAAAGGCCACGGAGCUAGGUCUCUGUACGCUUGCCGUGUGCGUGGUCAGAGUCGAGAGGCCGUGGGUCGCGUCAACCAAGUUGUUCAGUCUUGUGUCUUGAGUCAUUGUGUGAGCUGUAACGCGAUGUCGGACGUUUAGUUCGGCCACUGCCUUGUAUUACAUCGAAUGAAAAAUAGGAGGAGGAUAUAUCAUAUGAAUAGCCCACGACGAUCGAGUUAUGUGGCAUAUA